rnacentral:tRNA from 1 species
GGACCCAUUGUGGUACAGUGGUUUGAGUGUUGGACUACAACUCUAGAGACCAGGGUUCAAAUCCCUGCUGAACCA